rnacentral:lncRNA from 10 species
CAAAAGCAGCUCGAUUGGUUUCUGCUAGUGUGGAAAUAAAUCAUAUUAUAGCUAGGGGUCAUGAUGUUAGGAGUAGUCAGAGGUGUUCUUGUGUUCUAAUGAGGGUGCAGAGAUUGAAUUGGCCACUUAUUAGUAGGAUCGAUAAUAGGAUGAUAGCUAGGGUAACUUCGUAUGAAAUUGUUUGGGCAACUGCUCAUAAUGCGCCGAUCAGGGCAUAGUUUGAGUUUGAUGCUCAUCCUGAUCAUAGGAUAGAGUAGACAGCUAGGCUGGAUGUAGCCAGAAUGAAUAGAAGGCCUAAGUUAAGAUUAACUAGGGGGUUAGUUAUGGACAUGUUGUUAAGAAGAGGGGUUGAACCUCUGGUUGUAAAGUUUUAAAUUUUAUGCAAUUGCUGGGGUCUGCCAUCUUAACAAACCCUGUUCUUGGGUGGGUGUGGGUACAGUAAAAUGCUGAGAUAAUAUCAUCUAUGGGGCAGGGGCACUUUAUGAAGUGGGCCCCAUUUCUCUU